rnacentral:rRNA from 1 species
CCUACGGGAGGCAGCAGUGGGGAAUAUUGCACAAUGGGGGAAACCCUGAUGCAGCGACGCCGCGUGAGUGAAGAAGUAUUUCGGGAUGUAAAGCUCUAUCAGCAGGGAAGCAAAAAGACGGUACCUGACUAAGAAGACCCGGCUAACUACGUGCCAGCAGCCGCGGUAAUACGUAGGGGGCAAGCGUUAUCCGGAUUUACUGGGGGUAAAGGGAGCGUAGACGGUAUGGCAAGUCUGAAGUGAAAGCCCAGGGCUUAACCCUGGGACUGCUUUGGAAACUGUUAGACUAGAGGGCGGGAGAGGUAAGUGGAAUGCCUAGUGUAGCGGUGAAAUGCGUAGAUAUUAGGAGGAACACCAGUGGCGAAGGCGGCUUACUGGACAGUAACUGACGUUGAGGCUCGAAAGCGUGGGGAGCAAACAGGAUUAGAUACCCGAGUAGUC